CCUACGGGAGGCAGCAGUGGGGAAUAUUGCACAAUGGGGGAAACCCUGAUGCAGCGACGCCGCGUGAGCGAUGAAGUAUUUCGGUAUGUAAAGCUCUAUCAGCAGGGAAGAAACUGACGGUACCUGACUAAGAAGCACCGGCUAAAUACGUGCCAGCAGCCGCGGUAAUACGUAUGGUGCAAGCGUUAUCCGGAUUUACUGGGUGUAAAGGGAGCGUAGACGGACCUGCAAGUCUGAAGUGAAAGCCCGGGGCUCAACCCCGGGACUGCUUUGGAAACUGUAGGUCUAGAGUGCUGGAGAGGUAAGUGGAAUUCCUAGUGUAGCGGUGAAAUGCGUAGAUAUUAGGAGGAACACCAGUGGCGAAGGCGGCUUACUGGACAGUAACUGACGUUGAGGCUCGAAAGCGUGGGGAGCAAACAGGAUUAGAUACCCUGGUAGUC
rnacentral:rRNA from 1 species